UACGGAGGGGGCUAGCGUUGUUCGGAAUCACUGGGCGUAAAGGGCGCGUAGGCGGGAUGGCAAGUCGGUCGUGAAAUCCUUCGGCUCAACCGAAGAACGUCGGCCGAUACUGCCGUUCUUGAGGGAUGCAGAGGAGAUUGGAAUUCCCGGUGUAGCGGUGAAAUGUGUAGAGAUCGGGAGGAACACCGGUGGCGAAGGCGGGUCUCUGGGCAUCUCCUGACGCUGAGGCGCGAAAGCGUGGGGAGCAAACGGG
rnacentral:rRNA from 1 species